rnacentral:rRNA from 1 species
UGAUCCGGUGCUUGCACCGGGGAUUAGUGGCGAACGGGUGAGUAACACGUGAGUAACCUGCCCUUAACUCUGGGAUAAGCCUGGGAAACUGGGUCUAAUACCGGAUAUGACUCCUCAUCGCAUGGUGGGGGGUGGAAAGCUUUUUUGUGGUUUUGGAUGGACUCGCGGCCUAUCAGCUUGUUGGUGAGGUAAUGGCUCACCAAGGCGACGACGGGUAGCCGGCCUGAGAGGGUGACCGGCCACACUGGGACUGAGACACGGCCCAGACUCCUACGGGAGGCAGCAGUGGGGAAUAUUGCACAAUGGGCGCAAGCCUGAUGCAGCGACGCCGCGUGAGGGAUGACGGCCUUCGGGUUGUAAACCUCUUUCAGUAGGGAAGAAGCGAAAGUGACGGUACCUGCAGAAGAAGCGCCGGCUAACUACGUGCCAGCAGCCGCGGUAAUACGUAGGGCGCAAGCGUUAUCCGGAAUUAUUGGGCGUAAAGAGCUCGUAGGCGGUUUGUCGCGUCUGCCGUGAAAGUCCGGGGCUCAACUCCGGAUCUGCGGUGGGUACGGGCAGACUAGAGUGAUGUAGGGGAGACUGGAAUUCCUGGUGUAGCGGUGAAAUGCGCAGAUAUCAGGAGGAACACCGAUGGCGAAGGCAGGUCUCUGGGCAUUAACUGACGCUGAGGAGCGAAAGCAUGGGGAGCGAACAGGAUUAGAUACCCUGGUAGUCCAUGCCGUAAACGUUGGGCACUAGGUGUGGGGGACAUUCCACGUUUUCCGCGCCG